GUACACCUUCUGCCGUUAACACAUAUACUAAAAUUGGAAUGAUACAGAGAAGAUUAACAUGCUCCUUGCACAAGGAUAACAUGCAAAUUUGUGAAGUGUUUCAUUUAAAA
rnacentral:snRNA from 1 species